rnacentral:rRNA from 1 species
CAGUAGCCGCGGUAAUACGAAGGGGGCUAGCGUUGUUCGGAAUUACUGGGCGUAAAGGGCGCGUAGGCGGCCAUUCAAGUUAGAUGUGAAAGCCCUGGGCUCAACCUAGGAGUUGCAUUUGAUACUGUUUGGCUUGAGUUCGGGAGAGGUGAGUGGAAUUCCCAGUGUAGUGGUGAAAUUCGUAGAUAUUGGGAAGAACACCAGUGGCGAAGGCGGCUCACUGGACCAUAACUGACGCUGAGGCACGAAAGCUAGGGGAGCAAACAGGAUUAGAUACCCGCGUAGUCCCUGUCUCUUAUAC